UACGUAGGGGGCAAGCGUUGUCCGGAAUUAUUGGGCGUAAAGAGCUUGUAGGCGGUUUGUCGCGUCUGCUGUGAAAAUCCGGGGCUCAACCCCGGACUUGCAGUGGGUACGGGCAGACUAGAGUGUGGUAGGGGAGACUGGAAUUCCUGGUGUAGCGGUGGAAUGCGCAGAUAUCAGGAGGAACACCGAUGGCGAAGGCAGGUCUCUGGGCCACUACUGACGCUGAGAAGCGAAAGCAUGGGGAGCGAACAGG
rnacentral:rRNA from 1 species